rnacentral:lncRNA from 1 species
UUUCAUGUAAUUGGUUGUUAAGUUAAGGUAGACUAAUUUUAAUAUAUGAUAUGGUGGACUUUGCAAGUGGCUUGAGAACACUUGGAAAUUUAAUCAAAUUCAUCCUUUCUUUCUUUUACGCGUCAUUACUAAAGUUUAUACAUUCUGUCAAUUUUUUUUUUCAUUUCAUUAUUUUGGCUAAAUUACUUCUAAGUACCUUUCCCUUUCCACCUUCAACCAUUUUUAUUAAAAUCAUUUACA